rnacentral:rRNA from 1 species
AGCAGCCGCGGUAAUUCCAGCUCCAAUAGCGUAUAUUAAAGUUGUUGCAGUUAAAAAGCUCGUAGUUGAACUUCGGGGUUUACUCAUUGGUCAGGCUUAAUUGUCUGUACUGGUGAGAUAAAUCUCUACCUUCUGAGGAACUUUCAUGCCAUUUAUUUGGUGUGAUUGGAAAUCAGGACUAUUACUUUGAAAAAAUUAGAGUGUUUAAAGCAGGCUAACGUCUGAAUAUAUUAGCAUGGAAUAAUGAAAUAGGACGGCUUGGUUCUAUUUCGUUGGUUUCUAGGAUCACCGUAAUGAUUAAUAGGGAUAGUUGGGGGCAUUAGUAUUCAAUUGUCAGAGGUGAAAUUCUUGGAUUUAUUGAAGACUAACUACUGCGAAAGCAUUUGCCAAGGAUGUUUUCAUUAAUCAAGAACGAAAGUUAGGGGAUCGAAGACGAUCAGAUACCGUCGUAGUCUUAACCAUAAACUAUGCCGACUAGGGAUCGGACGAAGUUAAUUUUAUAAUGACGCGUUCGGCACCU